GGUGAGUUGGUGGCGGGAGCCGCGGGAGUAGUGAGGAUGCAGGCUUUAAUCUGAAUUACGGGGCGGAAAGCGUGCGCAGGCGGUCUCUUAAGACAGGUGUGAAAUCCCAGAGCUUAACUUGGGAACUGCGCUUGUAACUGAGAGGCGUGAGUGUGGCAGAGGGGGGUGGAAUUCCACGUGUAGCAGUGAAAUGCGUAGAGAUGUGGAGGAACACCGAUGGCGAAGGCAGCCCCCUGGGGUAACACUGACGCUCAUGCACGAAAGCGUGGGGAGCAAACAGGAUUAGAUACCCUAGUAGUC
rnacentral:rRNA from 1 species